GGCCUUUCCACGGUCUCCGUGACGCAGCUAACGCAUUAAGUUCCCCGCCUGGGGAGUACGGCCGCAAGGCUAAAACUCAAAGGAAUUGACGGGGACCCCCACAAGCGGCGGAGCAUGCGGAUUAAUUUGAUGCAACGCGAAGAACCUUACCAAGGCUUGACAUACACCGGAAACGUCUGGAAACAGUCGCCCCUUUUUGGUCGGUGUACAGGUGGUGCAUGGUUGUCGUCAGCUCGUGUCGUGAGAUGUUGGGUUAAGUCCCGCAACGAGCGCAACCCUCGUUCUAUGUUGCCAGCACGUUAUGGUGGGAACUCAUGGGAUACUGCCGGGGUCAACUCGGAGGAAGGUGGGGAUGACGUCAAAUCAUCAUGCCCCUUAUGUCUUGGGCUUCACGCAUGCUACAAUGGCCGGUACAAAGGGCUGCAAUACCGUGAGGUGGAGCGAAUCCCAAAAAGCCGGUCUCAGUUCGGAUUGAGGUAUGCAACUCGACCUCAUGAAGUCGGAGUCGCUAGUAAUCGCAGAUCAGCAACGCUGCGGUG
rnacentral:rRNA from 1 species